CCUACGGGUGGCUGCAGUGGGGAAUAUUGGACAAUGGGGGCAACCCUGAUCCAGCCAUGCCGCGUGUGUGAAGAAGGCCCUCGGGUUGUAAAGCACUUUCAGUGAGGAAGAACGCCUGGUGGUUAAUACCCAUCAGGAAAGACAUCACUCACAGAAGAAGCACCGGCUAACUCCGUGCCAGCAGCCGCGGUAAUACGGAGGGUGCGAGCGUUAAUCGGAAUUACUGGGCGUAAAGCGCGCGUAGGUGGCUUGAUAAGCCGGUUGUGAAAGCCCCGGGCUCAACCUGGGAACGGCAUCCGGAACUGUCAAGCUAGAGUGCAGGAGAGGAAGGUAGAAUUCCCGGUGUAUCGGUGAAAUGCGUAGAGAUCGGGAGGAAUACCAGUGGCGAAGGCGGCCUUCUGGACUGACACUGACACUGAGGUGCGAAAGCGUGGGUAGCAAACAGGAUUAGAUACCCUAGUAGUC
rnacentral:rRNA from 1 species